rnacentral:tRNA from 1 species
UGGGUUGUGGCUCAGUGGUAGAACACUUGUCUAGUAAAUAUGAGGCACUGGGUUUGAUCCCCAGCACCACAU